rnacentral:rRNA from 1 species
AUGGACGACUCAUAAUGGUAGGAACCGAAUCCUGUUAAGAUCGGCAACUUCUCCAUCAAGGCGGCUGAGGCCCGCGUGUGGCUGCCUGUAGCGUGGCAGUGCUACGACUCCUCCGGCAAGCCGAGUAGGUCAGACUACAGGAACCUAGAGUUCAACAAAGGGGGCGUGUACCGCAUCUCCAACGCCAAGAGCAACCUCUUUGUCCUGGGCUGCAAAACCACGGGCUACCUCGCGAGCCAGCCGGACCAGGGCUCCGGCGAAAGCACGUCUUACGCCCAGUUCACCGGCUGCCUCUGCUACUGCAACAACUCCCAGAGCGCGGUGAACGGUGCCUGCUCCGGGGUAGGCUGCUGCCACGUAGGCAUUCCACCGGACCUCACCGACAACUGGGUGGCCUUCAUGAGCUACGACAACACCGACAAGGUCAACUUCAGCCCCUGUGAUUAUGCGUUUGUGGCGGAGAAAAAACAUUACACCUUCAACACCACCGACCUCAAGAGGGCACUGCGCCAGAACACCUGGGGCUGGGAGAUGCCGGUGGUCCUCGACUGGGCCAUCCGCGACAGCCCCACCUGCAAGGAGGCAAGGAAGAAGGAGGGGUACGCCUGCAUAAGCUCCAACAGUCUCUGCCUCAACUCUACCAAUGGACCUGGAUACAUCUGCAACUGCCGCCGAGGCUACGAGGGCAACCUCUAUAUUGUUGAUGGUUGUACCGAUAUAAAUGAGUGUGAGCAUCUUGACCACUACUCUUGCAAGGGAGUGUGCACGAACAGACAAGGUUCUUACGAAUGUACAUGCCCCAAACAUACACACAGUGCUGAUCCGUACAAAGAAGUAUGCAGCCCGAAUUUUCCAACCAACGCAAAGAUCAUUGUAGGUGCAAUAGGGGGCAUGUUAGUUAUGGUAAUUAUGGUCUUCUUCUGGCUUCUUAUUGAAGAGAAAAGAAAGAUGAAAGAACAUUUUGAAAAGAAUGGCGGACCUACAUUGGAAAAGCUCAAUAAUAUAAAGCUAUUCAAAAAGGAAGACAUCAGGAAAAUUCAGAAAAGUAGCAACAUUAUUGGAAGCGGUGGUUUUGGUAAGGUUUAUAAGGGGUGCAUUGGCGAUAAUAAUGAGUUAGUUGCAGUGAAGGAGCCCAUCAAUGUUAACUCAGCAAACAAGGGUCAAUUUGCAAAUGAGAUCAUCAUUCAGUCUCGAGUCAUUCACAGGAACAUUUUGAAGCUCGUAGGUUGUUGCUUACAAGUUGAAGUCCCAAUCUUGGUCUAUGAGUUUGUACCUAAUGGUUGCCUUCAUGACAUUCUCCAUAAUGGUAGCAGGAUGCAUCUCGAUAUGUGUAAACGUCUAAAAAUUUCUGCUGAAUCGGCGGAAGGUCUAGCUUAUAUGCAUUCAAAAACCACUACCACAAUCCUCCAUGGUGAUGUUAAACCAGCUAAUAUACUUCUGAAUGACGAGUUCACACCAAAGAUCUCAGACUUUGGUAUAUCAAGGUUAAUUGUUACAGAUAUGCAACACACUGGAAAUGUUAUUGGUGACAUGAGUUAUAUGGAUCCAGUUCUUCUACAAACAGGAUUACUAACCAAGAAGAGUGAUGUCUAUAGUUUUGGGGUUGUGCUCUUGGAGCUCAUUACAAGGAAGAAGGCAUCACAUUCUGACAAGAACAGCUUAUUGAGGAACUUUCUUGAUGCUUACACGAAGGACAAGUCUGUGAUUGAGCUCGUGGACAAGGAACUUGCAGAGGUAGAUCGAGAGAUUCUUGAUAAUUUAGGAGAGAUGAUUAUGCAAUGUCUAAAUCUUGAUGUCAAUCAGAGACCGGAGAUGACAGAUGUUGCAGAGCGUCUUCGUGACAUGGUUAAGAGGUUUAAUGCCCAAUGGAAUGAUCAACUGGAUGAUCAUGUGGUUUCGCAGUAA